UACGUAGGGGGCGAGCGUUGUCCGGAGUUACUGGGCGUAAAGCGCACGCAGGCGGUUUCGUACGUCUGGAGUGACAGUUCCCGGCUCAACUGGGAAAGGUCUUUGGAAACGGCGAGACUUGAGGGCUUCAGAGGGACACGGAAUUCCGGGUGGAGUGGUGAAAUGCGUAGAGAUCCGGAGGAACACCAAUGGCGAAGGCAGUGUCCUGGGAAGCAUCUGACGCUCAGGUGCGAAAGCGUGGGGAGCAAACAGG
rnacentral:rRNA from 1 species